UAUUAGUUCCAUCAUAUAUUUAGUUUCUAUUACUUAUCUAGUAAUGGUUCAUAAUUAUAAUACUAUUAAGUAUAUUUAUUUAUAAACUCGCGGCAGCGUAUAGACAUGUCAUCUUGCAUGUGUGUGUUGCUGUUUUUGUAGCUAAUAUUGUUGACCAUCAAAUAAAAUACUCUUUUACUCCAUUAAUAUUAAAUGUGCUCGCACCGUGUAGUUGGCCGACUUAGAUAUAGCAAACUGAGAACCAAUUCCCAAAUCUCACAUCAUUCUAAUUCUUUAUAAUCUCAUUCUUUUCUUUCCUUCCAAUAAAUUAGGAUAAAAACAAUAGAUUUUUAUCCUUGCUCUCACCAACUACCCAGUCUCUCCUAGGGAUCAACAUUAUAUGCUUUCCCUUUACAUUAAAGGUAUACACAUUAUGUUGUUUGCCAUGUAUAACAUUCAUAUUAUAUUUCCAUGACCUACCUAAUAGUCGAUAACAU